GGAAAGUACAGAAGUUACGAGGUGCAUGAUGGGAACUAGGCCAUCAGUACUACUUUAACAUAUUUCCGUAUGGAUAUCGAUCUUUUCCAUCUAAUGGAACUAACUCCUCGACAUGGUCUAUGGACUGAAAAGAGGGCAUGUGCAGGGCCUUCGGGGUAGAUCACAAGUACGCUCAAACAUGAUCUAUAUAAGAAAACGACUUAAUAGGAACUGCAGUAACAAUACAAAGAAAGAAGGACCAUCUUGAAAAGAAAAAGAAACCAAAACCUACCUGGAUAUAUGACACGUGUAUUUUUGAUAUCAACAAAUACUAUUGUGAAGUUUGUAACAUAAUACAUGGAAGAGUGUUUUGUUUUUGAAAAAG